GCCACAUCACGAAACAUCAGUUCCCAUAUGAUCACUGAAGUUAAACAACAUUGAGCCUGGUCAGUAUCUAGAUGAGUGACCACUUGGGAAUAUCAGGUGCUC